rnacentral:rRNA from 1 species
CAGCCGCCGCGGUAAUACCGGCAGCACGAGUGAUAGCCACUAUUAUUGGGCCUAAAGCGUCCGUAGCCGGCUACACAGGUCCGUCGGGAAAUCCACCCGCUCAACGGGUGGGCGUCCGGCGGAAACCAGGUAGCUUGGGGCCGGAAGACCAGAGGGGUACGUCCGGGGUAGGAGUGAAAUCCCGUAAUCCUGGACGGACCACCGGUUGCGAAAGCGCCUCUGGAGGACGGACCCGACGGUGAGGGACGAAAGCUUGGGUCUCGAACCGGAUUAGGUACCCGGGUAGUCCAAGCUGUAAACGAUGCUCGCUAGGUGCGGCGCAGGCUACGAGCCUGCGCUGUGCCGUAGGGAAGCCGAGAAGCGAGCCGCCUGGGAAGUACGUCCGCAAGGAUGAAACUUAAAGGAAUUGGCGGGGGAGCAC